GCUGGGCGUAGUGGCGGGCACCUGUAAUCCCAGCUACUUGGGAGGCUGAGGCAGGAGAAUUGCUUGAACCCAGGAGGCGGAGACUGCAGUGAGCUGAGAUUGUGCCACUGUACUCCAGCCUGGGUGACAGAGUGAGAUUCUGUCUCAA
rnacentral:SRP_RNA from 1 species